UACGAAGGGGGCUAGCGUUGCUCGGAAUCACUGGGCGUAAAGCGCACGUAGGCGGCUUGUUAAGUCAGGGGUGAAAUCCUGGAGCUCAACUCCAGAACUGCCUUUGAUACUGGCGAGCUUGAGUCCGGGAGAGGUGAGUGGAACUGCGAGUGUAGAGGUGAAAUUCGUAGAUAUUCGCAAGAACACCAGUGGCGAAGGCGGCUCACUGGCCCGGUACUGACGCUGAGGUGCGAAAGCGUGGGGAGCAAACCGG
rnacentral:rRNA from 1 species